CUGCGAGUGAAGAGGGAAGAGCUCAUCAUUGGAAUCUGGCAGUGUUUCACUGUCCGAGUUGUAGAUGAGGAGUAGUCCGUCUGGACUGCAUGGCGUCCAAGUACAAUAGGCCGUCAGUGGGACAUCAUAGAGGGUGACAAUCCCGUCCUUGACGCCAAUGUGCAAGUCUAUUACGAUGGCUAUCUCAGAGAGUCGAGCAGUUUGGGAUUUGCUGCUUAAACAUGGGAGGUAGAUUCCUUCUAAAGCUAAAUACAGGCGAGAGACCGAUAGAGAACAAGUACCGCAAGGGAAAGAUGAAAUAGCACUCUGUGAAGGGAGUCAAAAGGCGUGAAAUUGUUGCGAGAGAAGCGAUUCAAGUCAGCGUAGCUAGGCCCAUCAAGCGUCUUCGCUUUGGACUAGCUUUGCCAGCGGUCUUGUCCCUUAAAGAGACUUGACUUGUAAUAUGUCCAGCCUGGCGUGCACAGGCAGCCCCUUCUGGGGGCCAGUGACAUGGCUGGUGGAAUGGCUUGCAAUCGACCCGUCUUGAAACACGGACCAAGGAGUCUAACAUGUAUGCGAGUAUAAGGGUGGCAAACCCGUAUGCGCAAUGAAAGUGAUUUUCGGUGAUUGAGAAUGGCCUGAUGACCAGACAAGCAAUAUAUGUCCCUCGUACGGCCAUUGCCCAAGUUCCGUGGUAGAUCCCACGAACAUGGAGUUGGAGCAUACAUGCUAGGACCCGAAAGAUGGUGAACUAUGCCUGGACAAAGCGAAGCCAAAGGAAACUCUGGUGGAGGCUUGUAGCGAUUCUGACGUGCAAAUCGAUCGUCUGAUCUGGGUAUAGGGGCGAAAGACUAAUCG
rnacentral:rRNA from 1 species